GUGACGGGAUUGCUUCCCUUAGAAAAACUUAGUAGAUACUUAGUCAGCCGUAAGCGGUUUAGCUAAGGAAGUACUUCUUUAGCUCAGUCGGUUAGCGCGCUGCCUUGUAACACAGAGGUGCCGGGUUCGAGUCCCGGUGGAGACAAGCAAUUUUGUAAUGAAAUUCGUGCUCUCCGGUUACAUUGGCGCCCAACAAUAAUAACCCACGGUUAGAAGAAUUACCUAGCCAGGUUAAAAUAUAAAUAUGAAAAUAUCAUCAUUAUAGAGUAUAAUGACUCUUGAGGUGGGGGAAGUGUUACGGGA
rnacentral:lncRNA from 1 species